rnacentral:rRNA from 1 species
GACGAACGCUGGCGGCGUGCUUAACACAUGCAAGUCGAACGAAGUGGCGAACGGGUGAGUAACGCGUAAUCAACCUGCCCUUCAGAGGGGGACAACAGUUGGAAACGACUGCUAAUACCGCAUACUGAAGGAGGGGAUUGAGUGGGAUUCGCUAGUUGGAGGGGUAACGGCCCACCAAGGCGAUGAUCAGUAGCCGGUCUGGGGGGAUGAACGGGCACAUUGGGACUGGGACACGGCCCAGACCCCUACUGGGGGCAGCAAGGGGGAAUCAUUCGCAAUGGACGAAAGUCUGACGGAGCAACGCCGCGUGGGGUAUGACGGCCUUCGGGUUGUAAAGCUCUGUUAAUCGGGACGCGGUACCGGAAUAGAAAGCCACGGCUAACUACGUGCCAGCAGCCGCGGUAAUUC